AUACGUAGGGUGCGAGCGUUGUCCGGAAUUACUGGGCGUAAAGAGCUCGUAGGUGGUUUGUCGCGUCGUCUGUGAAAUUCCGGGGCUUAACUCCGGGCGUGCAGGCGAUACGGGCAUAACUUGAGUACUGUAGGGGAGACUGGAAUUCCUGGUGUAGCGGUGAAAUGCGCAGGUAUCAGGAGGAACACCGGUGGCGAAGGCGGGUCUCUGGGCAGUAACUGACGCGGAGGAGCGAAAGCAUGGUUAGCGAACAGGAUGAGAUACCAUGGUAGUCCAGGCCGUAAACGGUGGGCGCUAGGUGUAGGGGUCUUCCACGACUUCUGUGCCGUAGCAAACGCAUUAAGCGCCCCGCCUGGGGAGUACGGCCGCAAGGCUGAAACUCAAAUGAAUUGACGGGG
rnacentral:rRNA from 1 species